rnacentral:tRNA from 1 species
GGAGAUGUGGCUUAGAGGUUAAGAGCACUGACUGCUCUUCCAGAGGUCCUGAGUUCAAUUCCCAGCAACCACA